GGGGUGAAAAUGCAAUUAAUGUGAUGUAUGUACCUACUUUUGUUCAUAAUAAUAAAAUCGAACAUUGUAUAGGGUGGUUAAUAAGGAGCGGUCGGGUAGUUUAUUUAUUAGUUAGCAAAAACUUGUACUUUUGACCCAAAAUUAUUUUGCGAAAUGAGUAUAUUGGGAGAAAAUAUUAGUCUUGCCGUAAGAGGGUAGAAAGAUAUAGGAAGAAAAAUGAGGAAAGAGGGAGUGAAAUGGUUAGUUGAUGAAAUAUAGUUGUUUUCUUUUGUUAUAGUUUCAAAUUUUCCUUGUUUUAAAUUGCAUUUUUUUAGAAUGUAUAUUUUAUUUUUAGUCAAAUAUCUUUCUCAUUACGUUUAUUUCGAACAUAUAAAA
rnacentral:lncRNA from 1 species